rnacentral:rRNA from 1 species
UACGGGGGGGGCAAGCGUUGUUCGGAAUUACUGGGCGUAAAGGGCUCGUAGGUGGCCAACUAAGUCAGACGUGAAAUCCCUCAGCUUAACUGGGGAACUGCGUCUGAUACUGGAUGGCUUGAGUUUGGGAGAGGGAUGCGGAAUUCCAGGUGUAGCGGUGAAAUGCAUUGAGAUCGGAAAGAACACCAACGGCGAAAGCACUCUGCUGGGCCGACACUGACACUGAGAGACGAAAGCUAGGGGAGCAAAUGGG